AAGCAUUAAAUGUGCUAGUGAGAGAUUAUAUUUCUAACCAAAAUUAUCAAAGACAACCAGCACUCCAAUAUGAGAUUAUAUAAUUAUACUAAUUUGACUACGAAAUGACAACUAGUACCUCAUCAUGAUAGCGCAAAUAAAUUAUCUUUUGGUUAGCAAUUAUAUUGAACUUAAUACCUUAGGAAAUGAAAUGCCACACAGUAUGUUAUUAGAUAUGGGGGGUGUGCUAUUUUUAUUACAAAACACGAUUUACAAGAAUAAAUUAUAUUUUGUAUUAAUUUACAUUUAGGAUGUUGGUGCA
rnacentral:misc_RNA from 1 species